GAGCGGUCAAAAUUACAAACAUUUUUAAAAUCAAAUGCAUUAUGUGUAGUAUACGUCUCUUUGACCUUCUGGCUGGUCCAGCCAAUAAGCAUUUUGUAGUACAUAUUAGCUUGAAUUGUCAAACCAGCAGAGAAGUAUAUAGGAACUUUUAGAUUCAUGCGUUCCCAGUAAUCAUCCAACAAAAUACAGAGUUCCUGAGCUCUUCCAAGUGCAAAGGUAGGAAUAAGCACCUUUCCACCAGCAGCAACACAUUUAUGAACAACUU
rnacentral:misc_RNA from 1 species